UUUGUCUGGAAACGCUUCCAACACGCUUGCGUGUCGCGUGAAAAAUAGGCGUCGGUCAUAUUUCUAGCAUGCAUGCGUUUUCGGCGCGGCUCGCGGCGUGAGAUGUGCGUGUCCUUCAGGCAGUAUGCAAGCUCUAACCUGUUACCAUGGGAGCCGAAAUAAAAACGGACACGCCACGCAGCUGACACGCUCACGCCACGCAGCCGACGCGAUCAAGCCACACAGCUGACACGCUCACGCCACGCAGCCAGUGUGCGGGAGCCCCUCAGCGUCAGUAACCGACGCCAAAGCACCCGGCCAAGCGGCGCUUUGUGACCCGAUGGGAGUGAGAAUGUGUUGCACAGGACGAGGUGGAGAAAGAAACCUUCCCUUUAAUUCAACUCAUCGUUCAUCAGGACAUUGCACCCAUGGUGACGUGACAGGAUAUUAUGGUCUGUAACACACAUGGACACCCAGCAGGACAAAGAGAGAGGGAGAGAGAGAGAGAGAGA